GUCUGGCCAAACGAUAGGCUUAAAACAGAACUGACAAAUUUAUCAACAAUUAUUUCAUUUUAUCGCACCAUAUUUAGGGCUUUUUAAAUUAAAAUUAUAAAUCUUCGAUCCAAACUGGAUAUAUUUUCAAUGGUUUUGCACCCAUUUCUCAACGGUGGGAAAAUGCGAUUUCGACCGGCAAUUUUUGAUUCGUAUUCGGUCAUUUUUCUUUAUAAUGAUAUAAAAAGGUACAUUUGAAAGUUAAAUGCCUGAAUCUUGUUUCCGUGAAACAAUUAUCGUUACACUCAACAUAUAACAUCUCUUUUUUACACACCAUUUAGUUUGUUUUGACCCUCUCCCCCUGUCCCAAGUCUUGAACCUUAUUGUUCAAGAUCUCGUGAAUGAAAGGAUAAAUUACUGAAUCGCAGAAAGCAGACUUGACCACCAUAUAGGCCGACACAAACCAUGCCAUUUGAAGAGCAUGCUAUAGCUCGAACACGCCGAUCGAAAUGAAACUCUUCAACAAACCGUCCAACGCGUAGAUCCCACAACGUCAGCGUCUUAUGACGAUACGAGCCUGACAAUAGAAAUUCACCUCCUGGCACCAAUGCCAACGCUGUGAUAUCAUGUGUAAUAUCAACUCUAUGGAGCAUCGUUCCACAUUUAAGGUUCCAAAUCAGCAAAGAAUUACAAUCUAAAAGUGUAAUUAAAAAUUAUAAUAAUAUCUGUAAAGGAA
rnacentral:lncRNA from 1 species